CUGAAGAAGGAAGCUGGGCCAGAAGUUGGACUUGGCAGGGGGAGGUGGAAGCGUUAGAAUCACACGCCAAUGGGGUUCCUCUGGGAAGACCUGGAUUCUUGGCCUGAGACAUUAUAUCUGUUUUCCCGGCAGCUCACUCCCAGGUGAUCUCGGGGACCCACGGGGAGCGCACUGCCCUUCCAUCCUGGCUCCAGUGAGUCACUCUGUGGCUGCAAGGACUACAGAUCGUGGGAGCUUAGCAGUCACCUACAACCUUGUCGAAGGGAGGACAACCACCAAAGUAGUAGGUAAAAGGGAAGUUUCAGCAGCAGUGAAAUGGAAAUGGGAAGAGAGAGGAUGGGGCCAGGCCAAGUCUAUGAUUUAAAAGUCUGUUGAAGAGGAGCCGAAUCCAGAUGAAACACUGGCUUUGAGGACAGGUGGAUCAGGGCCUCUGGAGAUCAGGAGGGGUCAGGAGAGGACAGGCUGGUACCAAGAGGACAGGCUGUUCAUACUCUGCCCUGAAAGAGUCACGUUCGACAUUCGUCCAGUGGUCUGUGGGAUAACCGCACUUUGAGCACGGCUUUCAGAGCAGAGGAAGUACCUGCUGUGGCUUUGCCUCCCUAAAUGUUCGUGCCUGGCACCAGUGUUUGCUGGGCCUCCGUGACAAGGACUUCCAGUGUGCAGACAAGUUGCUGGCAGAGCCCAUGGAGGGCCACACCCUUGGAUGUCCACAGCGGAUGUCACAACUGCUGGGAAAGUGAGAAGAUCUCCGCCUGGGCGUGGAAGACUGCUGGGACAUCAUUCCAGCAGGGCCACGGCGGGAGGGCCUCAGGCCAGGCAGCCAUCAGGUGGUCAAGGCCACCACACAGUCACGAGGCCUGCUCCAGGCUACUCUGCUCUUCCUCCUCCAUCUGUAACCAGCUCCAGUCUAGACACUGAAAGUCAACAGCCGUGUUAAAAAUACAGCAGCCACCAAUACACCUCAGGUUGUUUUUCUUCUUCAGGAGACAACCCCACAAUUUAGAAGGAAAUUUAAAUCCUCUUAUUAAUAAGAGUCUUGCUACUGCAGGGUACCCUUGAGCUAAAGCUACCUAUUCAAAACUGUAGAGGAGCUCUUCUUUGGACCAGCUUGGAGUCCCUGAGAUUCUAUGACUCUGGAAACUGGAAAAGCAAUUUCAGUAUUACUUGUGGCUCACAGCACUUAUCUGUGCUCACUGUGGGUGGGUGGUACCAAGAGCUCAUCUCAGCUAUCCAUUUCCAACCUCAGCAGAUGAAAUGGCCUGUUAAGACUUUCUUUUCCUCUGGCAUAAGUGCAAAUAAGCAGGAAAGGAUCAAAAUACGCAGUGCCAGGAGGAGGAGCAGCAACAAAAGACAUAGGAAGCCCCCAAACCAGAGAAGGACACAGAAAUAAAUAGUAGGGGAUUACGAUUAAUGGUCUCCCCUCUGAGUCUUCUGAAAACUGAGAAGUCAGGGAGAGGCUGGCAGGUGACUGUACUGGCUGGAAAAGGCCAUUUAGGGCCGGCCCCGUGGCUUAGCGGUUGGGUGCGUGCGCUCUACUACUGGCGGCCCGGGUUCAGAUCCCGGGCGCGCACCGACGCACCGCUUGUCCAGCCAUGCUGAGGCCGCGUCCCACAUACAGCAACUAGAAGGAUGUUCAAGCAACUAUGACAUACAACUAUCUACUGGGGCUUUAGCGGAAAAAAGGAGGAGGACUGGCAAUAGAUGUUAGCUCAGAGCCGGUCUUCCUCAGCAAAAAGAGGAGGAUUAGCACGGAUGUUAGCUCAGGGCUGAUCUUCCUCACACACACACA